CUGCAUGGCUGUCGUCAGCUCGUGCUGUGAAGUGUUGGGUUAAGUCCGCAACGAGCGCAACCCCUAUCAUUAGUUGCCAUCAGGUCAAGCUGGGGACUCUAAUGAAACUGCCUACGCAAGUAGUGAGGAAGGUGGGGAUGACGUCAAAUCAGCACGGCCCUUACGUCCAGGGCUACACACGUGCUACAAUGGCCGGUACAAAGGGCAGCGACACUGCGAGGUGAAGCCAAUCCCGUAAAAUCGGUCUCAGUCCGGAUUGGAGUCUGCAACUCGACUCCAUGAAGUUGGAAUCGCUAGUAAUCGUGGAUCAGCAUGCCACGGUGAAUACGUUCCCGGGCCUU
rnacentral:rRNA from 1 species